GGUGCCGUGGUCGAGCGGAUCAAGACGCUUGCGUGCGAAGCAAGCAAUCGCAGGUUCAAUUCCUGCCGGUACCA
rnacentral:tRNA from 1 species